AAUUAUAGUAUAACGAAUAAUUUUAUUUCCUCACUGGCCAGAACGCGUGUGGCGACGUCUGUGGCGUAGCUUCCAGACACUUAAUAAAGCUUAUAAUGCGUGUCGCAUUAAUCAUCUCAUUCUCAUUAUUUUAUGCGAAGGUGACGUCACAGUUUCUCGCGCUCUUUUGUCUGCUCGGACCCGAAUGAUUUCCUCAGGUUGGUGUUUGGACCAUCAGGUUCCAGGAUGUGCAUUUAUAAUCAAAUCUCAGUUCCUUUUAGCUGUAAUAUCAAGACUAAAUAAAUCAAUGUGACUCCACAAAAUAAAUAUGCGAGUAUCAGAAAAAUUGUGGGUCGUAUUUGGGAAUGGAGAUUCGAUUUUAAGUGGCAUAUAUUUUGUGGUGUGAUUAAGUUAGUCCUGGUGAGGUGCAUCUUUUUUAUGAAUUUCUUUUCUAAAUUGAAUCAUUUUAGCCAAACAAAACAAAAUCCAAUGAGUAAAAUAAUCAUUAUAACCAGGAAAUGAAAGAGCGUUUCUUACAAGAUGGCGCUCCUAUCCCAGCAUGCAACAGUGUGGAGUAGAGAUGGCCAACAUUUUUCCUGUCAAUACGAUACCAUUAAUUUAUGGUCACUUUUUCUCAGUAUAGACACCAAUUCUUUUUUGACCCUCAAAAGAAAAAUUACACGAUUGUACAGUGUGCAUUAAUAUCUUUAUUGCAAAGUUAAUAUGAAUUAAAGUAAUUAAAUACUUGAAAGAAAUGCUUAUAAAAGUAGUAAACAGAAAAUAAAUCUUUUUUAAAUGAUAGUGUAAAUAAUUAGACUUCAAAUUGAAAGUUUUCUUAAAUUGAAUUAUCGUAGGCUGCCACAAUCAUUUGACAGAACAAAUGCACCAUGGCUAGUUUUGGACAUAAGUUUGUUGCCUAAAACGCUCAGAAAUGGUAAAAAAAAAAGUCAUUUUUUUGCAUUAACAUAGUAGUAUUGAGAUAUUCAAAGUAUCAAAUGUGAUAUUUUAAUGUCGAAGUAUUGACGCCAAAGACUGAUUCACCCAUUCCUUCCCUUUGUCUGUGGACCUGCAGUGACAUAGUGUCCCAGUGUCAUUCAGCAAGUCAGACAUGGAUGUUUUCAUUGUCUGGUUCCUGUUCAGCUCCAUUGCUUUACAGGCUUUUUUUUUUUCUUUCUUAUUAGGCAGCUUUAAGGUCUUAUACAGACAGAUGAUAUGUAAAAGGAAAAUAUGAAUCCCCCAGACUUUAACCCCAUUACAGCCAAGACAUGAUGGGCAAAAAAUUUUAUUUUUUAUUCUGAGGCCUUUAUUUGGCCACUUUAAACACAAUGUAACAAAAACAAAUAAAAAAUUAUUUUAAUAAACGUAGUGUUUAUUACGGGUGUCAUGGCUGAAUGAUUGUAGUGCAAACGGUGUCCACUAGGGGGCAGAUGACAUCAAUCAGAUUGUAUACAACAGGGCUUGGAGGAAAGUUUUUACCGUAAAAUCUUGCAUUAGGUUCUAGAAACUGUAUCAGAUACUACCUAGAGGUAGUAAUAAUUAUUUAAUAGCUAAUCUUAAUUACCACCUGAUGCUAAUAAUGUCAAUGUCCUCACUACUUACCUGGUAGUAGUAAUGUCAAUGUCUUCAAUACUACCUGGAGGUAAUAAUAAUUAAGUAAAUUGCUAGUUGAGAAUUGGUUCCAGCUAAGAACUGGUUUGGUUUUCCACAGUCAGGGAGCCACAAAAGACCUGCAUAAAAAAUAAAAUAUGUCUUCCAACAAGUCUGAGCCUCCCUUCAGUGUAAUCUAAGUUUAUGACCACCGAGCAGAGAGAGUUUAAAUAACAGGUUUAAAUGUUGACUCCGUGUCUGAGCACCUCCAGUGUGGUUUUAAACCUGUUAUAAACAACAGUUGGUGCUGUGAACGCUCUCGAGGUGUCAACAUUUGUUUCAAAAAACAUGUUCUGGGUGUCCGGUUUUUCCAGGUAACAUGUAGUUCCAGGUGUUCAAUUUAUCCCUGUGUCCUUCCAGGUAUCAGGUUGUUCUGGGUGUCAGGUUGUUCCAAAUAUAAUUUUGUUCCAGCUGUUAGGUUAUUCUAGGUGUCAAGUUGUUCCUGAUAUCUGGUGGUUAGAGGUGUCCAGUUGUUCCAGGUGUCAGGUUGUUCAGAAUAUAAACUUGUUCCAGGUAUUGGGUUGUUCCAGGUGUCAGAUUGUUCCAAAUAUAAUUGUGUUCCAGAUGUCCAGUUGUUCCAGGUAUCCAGUGGUUUUAGGCAGCCAGUGACUCCAAAUAUGAUGUUAUAGGUGUUAGGUUGUUCCACAUGUCCUAAUGUUCAAGGUGUCAACGCUCCAAAUAUAAUUUUAUUCCAGUUGUCAGGUUGUUCCAAAUAUAAUUGUAUUCCAGGUGUCAAGUUCUGAAUAUAAUUUUGUUCCAUGUAUCAAGUUGUUCCAGCUCAAGGUCUCGGGUGUCAGGUUUUUUUCAGGUGUCAUUUUGUUCCAAGUGUCAUCUUAUUGCAGGUGUCAAGUUGUUCCAGAUCUCCAUGUGUUCCAGGUAUCCAGAUGUUCCAGGUGUCGGGUUGUUCCAAAUAUAAUUUUGUUCCAGAUGUCAGGUUGUUCCAAAUAUAAUUUUGUUCCGGAUGUCCAGUUGUUCAAGAAAACAAUUUGUUCCAAAUAUAAUUUUGUUUCAGUCAUCAGGUUAUUUCAGGUGUCAAGUUGUUUCAGGUAGCUGGCCGUUCAUGGUUUUUUUUUUUUUGUUUUGUUUUUGUACCAGGUUUUUGACCAAAGUGAACCAAAAAGUAACUAGAAUCCUUGAUAUUAUAAAGGAACUGCACAUUGUUUAAGUUUAUAUUGGUAAAAAAAAAAAUCCUCCAUUUUUGUAACUAUUAUCCUCUGUUUUGUUCAUUGUAUGUUAUUAUCCAUGUUCUUCUUUGUAUGUAACAUUUUGUCUGUAAUAAUAAAAGGGGG